rnacentral:lncRNA from 10 species
GGACUUAUUCAGCAGAACCCCCAAGAAGAUGCAGACUAAGAAAUGCCAAUGCUUUGAUGGGUACAAGGAAGAAAUAGGACUAAGACAAGACAAAUAAUGGAGGACUUACAUGGCAGAGGCAACAAGGAGAAGUGCAGAGACAAGGUGGGGAAAGCCCCUUACAAAACCAUCAGAUCUCGUGAGAACUCAUCCACAUCACAAGAACAGCAUGAAGAAACGGAACAAGGGGAAUGCAAUCUCACAGGAUGGAAAUAACCUGUGGUGAAUUGUUGCCAUCCAGAUCCACUUUUAAGUCCACAUGGUUCAUUCAUUUUGGACUAGAUCCUGGUACAGCCCAGUGAACUGAUAUUCUUGAAAUCAGGCACAGAGGCUCUGAAGUAAUGCAUUACAUUUGCAUCCAUGAUUUGCUUAAAAUGUUCCAUUUAGCCUUUCCUCCCAGGAAACAAAGCCAGCAGUAUUUGAUUAUUGAAUAGCUCGUUUUGGAUGCUUAGUUUGAGAAGAUUUUAUUAAGAUUAUGGGAAACUUGAAUUUUACAAAAUGAAUCAUGAGUUAUAUUUCAGUUUUGAUUUGUCUCCAAGGGUUGAAAUACAUAGAAGUCUAGGAUACAUUAUAUAUUAGCUCUAUUUUAGCAUGCAUUUAAUGCAAUCACAGGCAAAAAUCAAAUGCUUUAAAGAAAAAGAUUGCAGUUUUAGAAAUGAAGGAUGUGAAAAAGGACGAAUCUAUAUAAAUAAAAGUGAACUUAGAGUAAUAACAUGCAAUAUAGUCUAUGUAGAUAUGCAUAUUUUAAUUGUAUAUUACUAUUUGUCCCAUCACAAUAAUUGGUUUAAACAAUGGUGUAUUUAUAUGUGUAAAACAAAGUUUGGUAUGUGUGUGCACACAUAUACACACAGAAACACACACACACACUUUUCUAAUCAACUAACAUUUAAGAAAUACCACUGAAGGAAAUAUUAAUGACAGAAAGAGCUUUUCUGCACACAGAAAAGCACGCACACUCCUAUGCAGCAUACAAAUAGGUAAGAGUACAUGUUUUCCCUGAAAGAAGAGCAAGAGACCAACGGAAUAAGCCCCUUUACUGGGUUCCCAUAUGGCUGAAUGGUCUCAAUAUCUCAAUCUUUAGAACAUACCUCAGCAUCUCCACAUCUCCUCCUACCUCUGUCCUGUGUUGCUGGGACACAGGGGCAGGAAAUGGAUGCAUCCCUUCCCAUGCACGCCCAAACAGCUCCUCAACUCAAUCUCAGCCCCAUGCCUCUUCUAUUCUUCUGUGAGGAAGUGGCUUCUCAUGACCUAUCCGAGAGCUCAGCACAUGUUAAGUUCUCACACAGGCUUAAGCCAACAUAAUCGUCAACAUUAAAAAGUAACAACAUAAUAUUUGGGCGGAUGAUGUUUUCUGUUCAUAAUCAACAGUGACUUCUCAGAGUGGCCUUUUCUGACCUCUCUAUCUAAAUAGUACUUUACGUUUUCUCUAUCCCCUCCCUAAAUUACUCUGGUUCAUUUUUUGUCAAAGAAUUUUUACUGCUGAAUAGUGUCAUAGACCUAUUCAUUUAUUUAUUUUCUCACUCUUCCCAGUAAAAUAUAAGAUGCGUGGAGAAGAAGUUUGUUUUGUUCCCCUCUGCCAUAUGGGAAAGAACAGUGGUGGAAUUUAGUAGAUGCUCAAUAAAUAUUUGUUGAUUUAAUAAAAAAAUUCAUUUGUUGGGUUUCUUAAGUUGGCUUAUCCCAGAUGCAGAUCCAAAGCCGAGGAUGGAGUUGCAAGUGAUGCAUUAAGGAUGUGUUUCCAGGAGCAUCCAGAAAGGAGACAGGGACAUGGAGCAGGACAGGAAAGGCGAAGGAAGCAAGAGUUUCAUUUUAGGUGGACACAGAUUUUCAAGAUUUCACUAAUGGAAAAGAAUUUGAAAAAUAACAUUUGAAGAAUGGUAGUGGGCUUUAAUAGUCAAUGAAGAGUGAAAAGAAGUAUUUGUUUGGACAAAAACCGAAUCCAGAAAACAGCUGAUGACCUACAUACUAGCUGGAAUGACUUUGCCUUCAGGUUAUAAAAGCACUUUGUAUCUAUUUAUUUGUCUGGCUACUGUGAAAAUAAACACUUCUAUGCAAUCAAAAUCUGAACUUCUGAAAAAUAAAGUUUUUUAACACCUAAGUAUGUUGGCACUUCACAGGUAUAAAUACUGAUGUUUUUUGGAACUCUUCUUUCGUAUUUAAAUAUGAGAGGUCACAGUAAAAUGUUAACCUAUUCUUUACAAAUAAACCAAGUAUAAAGACUUUGAUAUUCAACUCGGCUGUGCAUUUAAAUGUUUUGUGCUAAAUUUCACCAAAUAUGUUUAAAAUAAUUUGACUACAUUGUUAGAAAA